UGUGUGAAGGCCUUAACCUAUAUUCGAGAACCUCACCCGAGUGCUCUCCCUCUCAUUUUAUCUUACUUUCAUAUUUCUGUCACUCUAACGCUGCGCUUCACGCGCAUUAUGCGUGGAAACGGAACGCACCCUAAAUUGAAUUGAUGAAGAAGCGAGAAAUCUUUGUCCCAAAUAUUGAAGGAAGGAAGGAAGGAAGGAAGGAGAAAUCUUUGUUUGGCAAUUUGGAAAAGCGCAGAAAGAGGUGUUUGCAAUUGGAUAUUUUUGCUGAAAUACUCUGCGUUAUCAAUAAUUAUGUUACACACACAUGCGCAUAAAGAUUUCUCUGAUUUAUCACAGCGUCGGAAACGAAGAAUUGUAUUACAUGAAACUAAUUUAUUAAAUAAUCCACAUUUCAGGAAGUGUAGAAAAACUUAUAUAGAGGAAAUAGAUAAUAGACUUUAGAAAAGGUACGGAAAAAAGCAGAAGAUGCUAAUUACUCAACUUCUUGUGACGAAAAUAGAAGACGUGGAAAGAGUUGUAAAUAAAAAACAAUUCUAUAAUGCAUAUGACACUAGCGACGACAAUGCAGAUGGUGAUUUUGAUCCAUCUUCACAAUUAUGUAAGACUGCACACACAAGUUAAAAACAGAUAUAAGUCAGGAUUCAUGCAUGAAGAAAUCUUUGUGUGACAAACACUUCUCGCAGGAGAAAUUAUCCUCCUGUGAACAAGUUUCACAAAUUGCUGCCGAGAAAAGCUUCUCUACAACAAACCGUUCAUUAUGUAAUAAAUCACAAAAAAAGAAAGUUGAUUCACUACAAGCGGAUGAACUUUAUGAUAAUAAUAACCCGUUGCAAUUUAGAUCUCAGGAAGUAUAUGCAAACUACAGUUGGUGACAAUGAAAAACUGAUUCCAAUAUGUGUGGAGACGUUAAAAUAUGUAAAAAAUAUGGAGAAAAGGCUGAAAGCUUUAGAAAGAAACAUUAAUAAUGCGGAAGAUUGUAUGAAUCUAUUCGAUGAUAUACUUCCGAUCAAUUCCAUAGAGAAUCAAGAGGUUUGAAGAAAACUAGGAAAGUGCUGAAAUAAGAGCGA